rnacentral:rRNA from 1 species
UACGUAGGGUGCGAGCGUUAAUCGGAAUUACUGGGCGUAAAGCGUGCGCAGGCGGUUUUGUAAGACAGGCGUGAAAUCCCCGGGCUCAACCUGGGAACUGCGCUUGUGACUGCAAGGCUAGAGUAUGGCAGAGGGGGGUGGAAUUCCACGUGUAGCAGUGAAAUGCGUAGAUAUCGAGAGGAACACCAGUGGCGAAGGCGAGUCCCUGGACAACUCCUGACACUAAGGCACGAAAGCUAGGGGAGCAAACGGG